rnacentral:tRNA from 1 species
AGGAUAAUAGUUUAAAUUUUUUAUAACAUUUGAUUUGCAUUCAAAAAAUAUUAAUAUUAUUAAUUUAUCUUA